AUUGUUCAUAUUGAAUGGAGCUUUUAAAUUGUAAUAUUCAUUUCAUUAAUACAUAUUUUUUGUUGUAUUUUAAGAUUUGACAUAAAUCUCAUUAAUUUUUAAUUGCAUGUUAUUCAUUAAAGAACGUUUUUCAUAUCAUUGUUUAUACUAAUAAAAAAUCCGUUUUUUUCAUAUAAUUGUGUAUACUAAUUUAAAUAACACUUAAAUUUAAUUAAUAGCUGUUUUGAGUUAGUAGAGCAUUAUUUUCAGUUAACUAAUUAUUUUAAUAUAGUAAUUAAUUAGUAAACAUUAUUAAACAAUUUUGUUUAUAGGCAUGAAAUAUCAAACAAAUAUGGAUAAGGUGAUACUGUCAGUCAAUGAAUUUUACAGUAGGUGAAUUUUUUUUGUAAUGCUAAUCUAGCUGGAGCGGUAUAAUUAUAUUGAAGAUUAUCAAAUUUUUAAAUUUUUUUUCUUCUAAUCAAUGCCCAGAAAAUUUACUCUCGGAAUAUAAACAACGUUUUUUUGAUCCCGUUUGUAACACCCCGAAACAAACUUUUUAGACCCUACAAAAUAAAUACAAAUUUAUAGCCUGUUCACAGAACUUUUGUGUAAGGCAGACAAACAAUUGCUACCCAGACAAUCAAGUUUUUAUUUUAGUUCAUUUACUUUUUUCGUCUGGGAAAAAAGCUCUUUUUACUUAUUGCCCUUCUGUCAAAAAUUUGUUUAUGUUUCCAAAAAGAAAAUUUGUUUAUAUUUUUUAAAAAUGAUUGCCUCCGUUGGUUUUGGACUUUCCAUUUUAAAUAAAAGUAUGAAUAGGGGUGACGGAAAUAUCAAUCUUUUUCGUCAAUUCGCGAUGCCACAAACGUAUUGGAACUUCCAGAAGAAAGGUAAGUGUUUGGAUGGAUCCAGGACAGCGGAUGAAAUGGACCAUAACUUUUGUUGUUUGUUUCAGAUUUCAACAGCGCUGGUGUACCAGGAGUUGUAGGAUGCAUAGACGGCUCCCAUGUUCGAAUAAAGUCCCCUGGGCAACAACAACAGCAUUUAUAUUAUAACCGUAAAGGUUACUACAGCAUAAAUGUAAUGGUGAUAUGCGAUCAUAAUAUGGUAAUAAAUUACGUAGAUGCUAGACAUCCAGGUGCAAAUCACGAUGCAUUUGUGUGGGACCAGAGCGAUGCACAUGAUCAUUUUAAAAAUAAUUUUAUUCGAGGCAAGAGGAAUACAUGGCUGUUAGGGGACUCUGGAUACAAACUUCAGCCCUAUAUGAUGACGCCAUACCGGAAUCCUUCAAAUGCCACCGAAAGGAACUACAACAAGAAACAUUCAAAAACUCGAAAUGUUGUAGAACGGUGUUUUGGUGUUCUAAAGAAUAGGUUUAGGUGCAUCAUAGGAUCGAGAGGGUUGCAUUACAGUCCCGCCAAAGCAACACAAAUUAUAAACACGUGUUGUGCUUUGCACAACAUAUGUAUAUUUUAUAAGAACAAUUUGUUACCAAGUGAUGCUAUGUUCCAAAAUGAAAAUGAAGAUUUAGGUAUUUUUUCCUCUGGCGAUGAAACGGCAGCUAUUACAAUUAGAGACGAAGU